GACGAACGCUGGCGGCGUGCUUAACACAUGCAAGUCGAACGAACAGCGAUGGAAGCUUGCUUCUAUCAAUCUUAGUGGCGCACGGGUGAGUAACGCGUAAUCAACCUGCCCUUCAGAGGGGGACAACAGUUGGACACGACUGCUAAUACCGCAUACGAUCUAACCUCGGCAUCGAGGAUGGAUGAACGGUGGCCUCUAUUUAUAAGCUAUCACUGAAGGAGGGGAUUGCGUCUGAUUAGGUAGCUGGGGAGGUAACGGCCCACCAAUGCGAUGAUCAGUAGCCGGUCUGAGAGGAUGAACGGCCACAUUGGGACUGAGACACGGCCCAGACUCCUACGGGAGGCAGCAGUGGGGGAUCUUUCGCAAGAGACGAAAGUCUGGAGGAGCAACGCCGCGGGAGGGAUGACGGCCCUCGGGUUGGAAAGCUCUGUUUAUCGGGAAGAAAGGCAUUCGUGCGAAUAGUUAGAAGGAUUGACGGUACCGGAAUAGAAAGCCACGGCUAACUACGUG
rnacentral:rRNA from 1 species